rnacentral:rRNA from 1 species
AGAGUUUGAUCCUGGCUCAGGAUGAACGCUAGCUACAGGCUUAGCACAUGCAAGUCGAGGGGAAACGACAUCGAAAGCUUGCUUUUGAUGGGCGUCGACCGGCGCACGGGUGAGUAACGCGUAUCCAACCUGCCCACCACUUGGGGAUAACCUUGCGAAAGUAAGACUAAUACCCAAUGACGUCUCUAGAAGACAUCUGAAAGAGAUUAAAGAUUUAUCGGUGAUGGAUGGGGAUGCGUCUGAUUAGCUUGGUUGGCGGGGUAACGGCCGCCAAGGCUACGAUCAGUAGGGGUUCUGAGAGGAAGGUCCCCCANAUUGGAACUGAGACACGGUCCAAACUCCUACGGGAGCA